rnacentral:rRNA from 1 species
CCUACGGGUGGCAGCAGUGGGGAAUAUUGGACAAUGGGCGAAAGCCUGAUCCAGCCAUGCCGCGUGUGUGAAGAAGGCCUUCGGGUUGUAAAGCACUUUCAGUGGGGAAGAAAGCCUUGGGGCUAAUACCCUCGAGGAAGGACAUCACCCACAGAAGAAGCACCGGCUAACUCCGUGCCAGCAGCCGCGGUAAUACGGAGGGUGCGAGCGUUAAUCGGAAUUACUGGGCGUAAAGCGCGCGUAGGCGGUCUGAUAAGCCGGUUGUGAAAGCCCCGGGCUCAACCUGGGAACGGCAUCCGGAACUGUCAGGAUAGGGUGCAGGAGAGGAAGGUAGAAUUCCCGGUGUAGCGGUGAAAUGCGUAGAGAUCGGGAGGAAUACCAGUGGCGAAGGCGGCCUUCUGGACUGACACUGACGCUGAGGUGCGAAAGCGUGGGUAGCAAACAGGAUUAGAUACCCCUGUAGUC